UGUACAGUGUGGUAAAUAACACUGACAGUGUAUAUUUGCCUCUAGUUGUACACAGAAAAAUUAGUGACAUGCUAUUUAGCAAUCCAUAUAUACAAACAAUGCAUCUAUUUGUAAAAGAUUGUUAUAAAGUCAUAAGUAAAUAAAGCUUGUUUGCCAGUCGUUGCUAGAGGGCAUGUAAUAUAAUGAUAAUUUAAAAUAAAAAAUAAGAAAAGCAAUACGCCCAUUUUGCUACACUUCACAUUCUAGGAAAUUAAAUAAAAAUUAAUUUCAGCGUAGUGUUUCUUCCUACGCUUCUGGUUAGUAGAUCUGGCAGUUGUGUUCUCCAAGGGUUAAACAUAAGACACAUCUGUGUCUACAUAGAAAAACCACAAUGUCAAGCAGAUACAUGCAAACAUUUCAACAUGAAAGCUAGUGAAAACACAGGCAGUGGAGAAAACAUAAUGUAAUGUCGUUUGAACACGUCUAUCACAAAGUGAACACAGCUCUGACACAAGUGAGUGGGUUGACGCACCUUAAAGUGACAAUACCAGUAUAUUUCGGGAGACCGAUAACCAGUGUAUGUAUAUGAUCUCAUUGGUGAUCCUCACACAUGUAAUUGUACCACACCAUUUCUUUUGCCUUUUGUGUUAAAGUGACAGCUGAAAUAUCAUUCUACUGUCUUCAUACAAUGCUGCAUGUUGUUAAAUGAAUGCGUUAUGUUUUUUUAAAACAUGCUGUCAAGAAAAUACUGUCAAACUAAAUAUGAAUUUACAAUUAUCUUUAACAAAGUGUUAAUGUAUUUUGGUUAUGAAAAGUGCUACCUUUUUAUUUUUUCAAUUUUUAUUAACGUAACACUGCCACAUCCCAGGAUUUUUAUUAUGUUUACGUAUCUCUAAAUUUAACAAAUAUCUGCUUGUGAGGUGUAAACAUUGAAAGGGACGUUAGAAGUCUAAAUAGCUAUUUUGUCCUCCGGUCCCCUAAUCUCCAGAAAAAAAGGUAAUUUAUGCACCUUUUUCCAGUGAUGCGCGGGUCCAGGCGCUGCCAUUGGCGUGCGCAGCCUAUUGCAUAAGGGUGUGCACCCUAAUGCACAAACACACAUG